AUGUCUAUUGACCCAAAGCUGUUUCUGUCAAACUUCCUAGCAGUCUCUUUGAUAUUAGGUCUCUUAAUUAUUGGAAAGACACUGGUAGUAACAUUUAUUGGUAGAGUGUUUGGAGUUUCCACCAUAGCUGUUGUUCGGGUUGGUCUUUUGUUUGCACCUGGUGGGGACUUUGAUAGCUAUGUUCCUCCUCCUCUAUUGUUUAGUAGGCAGGCAGAAUACCCAAGUACUACUUACUUCUUGAGCAUCGCCUACAUCAGCCAAAGGCUCUGA
rnacentral:rRNA from 1 species